rnacentral:rRNA from 1 species
AUGGCGAGUGGCGAACGGGUGAGUAACACGUGGGUGAUCUGCCUUGCACUCUGGGAUAAGCUUGGGAAACUGGGUCUAAUACCGGAUAGGAACCGUCUUUAGUGUGGUGGUUGGAAAGUUUUUUCGGUGCAAGAUGAGCUCGCGGCCUAUCAGCUUGUUGGUGGGGUAAUGGCCUACCAAGGCGUCGACGGGUAGCCGGCCUGAGAGGGUGUACGGCCACAUUGGGACUGAGAUACGGCCCAG